rnacentral:rRNA from 1 species
GGGUUGUGAGGUUAAGCGACUAAGCGUACACGGUGGAUGCCCUGGCAGUCAGAGGCGAUGAAGGGCGUGCUAAUCUGCGAUAAGCGCCGGUAAGGUGAUAUGAACCGUUAUAACCGGCGAUACCCGAAUGGGGAAACCCAGUGUGACUCGUCACACUAUCAUUAACUGAAUCCAUAGGUUAAUGAGGCGAACCGGGGGAACUGAAACAUCUAAGUACCCCGAGGAAAAGAAAUCAACCGAGAUUCCCCCAGUAGCGGCGAGCGAACGGGGAGGAGCCCAGAGCCUGAAUCAGCAUGUGUGUUAGUGGAAGCGUCUGGAAAGACGCGCGAUACAGGGUGACAGCCCCGUACACAAAAGCGUAUGUGCUGUGAGCUCGAUGAGUAGGGCGGGACACGUGGUAUCCUGUCUGAAUAUGGGGGGACCAUCCUCCAAGGCUAAAUACUCCUGACUGACCGAUAGUGAACCAGUACCGUGAGGGAAAGGCGAAAAGAACCCCGGCGAGGGGAGUGAAAAAGAACCUGAAACCGUGUACGUACAAGCAGUGGGAGCACAGGUUUACCUGUGUGACUGCGUACCUUUUGUAUAAUGGGUCAGCGACUUAUAUUCUGUAGCAAGGUUAACCGAAUAGGGGAGCCGGAGGGAAACCGAGUCUUAAUUGGGCGUUAAGUUGCAGGGUAUAGACCCGAAACCCGGUGAUCUAGCCAUGGGCAGGUUGAAGGUUGGGUAACACUAACUGGAGGACCGAACCGACUAAUGUUGAAAAAUUAGCGGAUGACCUGUGGCUGGGGGUGAAAGGCCAAUCAAACCGGGAGAUAGCUGGUUCUCCCCGAAAGCUAUUUAGGUAGCGCCUCGUGAAUUCAUCUCCGGGGGUAGAGCACUGUUUCGGCUAGGGGGUCAUCCCGACUUACCAACCCGAUGCAAACUGCGAAUACCGGAGAAUGUUAUCACGGGAGACACACGGCGGGUGCUAACGUCCGUCGUGAAGAGGGAAACAACCCAGACCGCCAGCUAAGGUCCCAAAGUCAUGGUUAAGUGGGAAACGAUGUGGGAAGGCCCAGACAGCCAGGAUGUUGGCUUAGAAGCAGCCAUCAUUUAAAGAAAGCGUAAUAGCUCACUGGUCGAGUCGGCCUGCGCGGAAGAUGUAACGGGGCUAAACCAUGCACCGAAGCUGCGGCAGCGAACGUAUCACUUAAAGCGAUUCAGCGGGUUACGAUUGACGGAGCGAAGCGACGUCAAAGCGUAUACAAAGUCGAGUCGGUUUAAGGAUACGUUCGUUGGGUAGGGGAGCGUUCUGUAAGCCUG